rnacentral:rRNA from 1 species
UACGUAGGGGGCAAGCGUUGUCCGGAAUCAUUGGGCGUAAAGAGCGCGUAGGCGGCCCGGUAAGUCCGCUGUGAAAGUCGGGGGCUCAACCCUCGAAAGCCGGUGGAAACUGUCGGGCUAGAGUGCGGAAGAGGCGAGUGGAAUUCCUGGUGUAGCGGUGAAAUGCGCAGAUAUCAGGAGGAACACCAAUUGCGAAGGCAGCUCGCUGGGACGUUACUGACGCUGAGACGCGAAAGCGUGGGGAGCAAACAGG